rnacentral:rRNA from 1 species
AACGAACGCUGGCGGCAUGCCUAACACAUGCAAGUCGAACGAGAUCUUCGGGUCUAGUGGCGCACGGGUGCGUAACGCGUGGGAAUCUGCCCUUUGGUUCGGAAUAACAGUUGGAAACGACUGCUAAUACCGGAUGAUGACGAAAGUCCAAAGAUUUAUCGCCAGAGGAUGAGCCCGCGUAGGAUUAGCUAGUUGGUGUGGUAAAGGCGCACCAAGGCGACGAUCCUUAGCUGGUCUGAGAGGAUGAUCAGCCACACUGGGACUGAGACACGGGCCAGACUCCUACGGGAGGCAGAAGUGGGGAAUAUUGGACAAUGGGCGAAAGCCUGAUCCAGCAAUGCCGCGUGAGUGAUGAAGGCCUUAGGGUUGUAAAGCUCUUUUACCCGGGAUGAUAAUGACAGUACCGGGAGAAUAAGCUCCGGCUAACUCCGUGCCAGCCGCCGCGGUAA